rnacentral:sRNA from 1 species
AUUAAAAGAGGCCUUAACAUUUCCCAUGAUCCAACUGUGUAAUUUCUGGUCAGUGAUUCCAGGUUUUAAAUAAUUUGUAAGUGUUCAGUUUCUACACUUUAUCAUCCGCUAAGAAUUUAAAGAAAAAUCACAUUCUCUGUUCAUCUGUUAAUGCUGGGAUCCAUAUUUAGUUUUAUAAGCUUUUCCCUGUUUUUAGUUUUGUUUGGGUUUUUGGCUCAUGGAUUUUAUUUUCUGUUUGUCGAAAAAUGUAAGAGUGUAAUGUUAAUAAAUUUCAGUUUAGUUCUGUAAUGUCAAGAAUUUAAGAAUUAAAAAAAUGGACUGGUUAAAAAAAA